AGCCCAACAGCUCGCCUCUUACCCUAAAUCCAACAACCAUUGUUAAUAAACCCUCAUUCCUCUUAUUUUAUUGACCAAAUCAUUUUUCCUCCUUAGUAAGUGCGACAGAACAGGAGCAUGCGAGCGCUAUAGAUAAAGUACCGUAAGGGAACGCUGAAAGAGAAGUGAAACAACCCAGUUAAGCAUAGAAAAGCAAAGAUUAAUUCUUGUACCUUUUGCAUCAUGAUUUAGCAAGUCCAUUCAAGCAAAAAGCAUUUUAGUUUGGUAUCCCGAAACUAGACGAGCUACUCCAGGACAGCCUGAUAAUAGGGCACACCCUUCUCUGUAGCAAAAGAGUGGGAAGAUCUUUGAGUAGAGGUGAUAGACCUACCGAGCCUAGUUAUAGCUGGUUGCCUGGGAAUUAAAUAUAAGUUUAGCCUUAUGUCUUCUUACACCAAAAAUGGAUACCCUAACUUUAGGUUUUAAGAAAACAAUAAGAGUUAGUCAAAAGGGGGACAGCCCUUCUGAAUUAAGACACAACUUUCCUAGCUGGUUAAUAAUCAUAACAUAAUAAAGUCUAUAUCUAGGUGGGCCUAAAAGCAGCCAUCCUUAAAGAUAGCGUCAAAGCUCAAAUAUACCUUAAACUAAUUAUACUGACAGUAUUUUAUAAUCCGCUAAAAUUACCAGGCCCUCCUAUUCUAAUAUAGGAAAGAUUAUGCUAAUAUGAGUAAUAAGAGAAUUUGUUUCUCUCCACGCAUGAGUGUAUAUCGGAGCGGACACACCACCGAACAUUAACGGCCCCAACUCAAGAGGGAAUUAGAGUUAAAACAGAAAACAAGAAAUAUCUCUAUACACUUACCGUUACCCCACACUGGAAUGCAAACUUGGAAAGACUAAAAGGGAGAGAAGGAACUCGGCAAAUACCCAAUCUAAGCCUCGCCUGUUUACCAAAAACAUCGCCUCUUGAAUUUCUUAUAUAAGAGGUCCCGCCUGCCCUGUGAUUAAAUUUAACGGCCGCGGUAUUUUGACCGUGCAAAGGUAGCGCAAUCACUUGUCUUUUAAAUGAAGACCUGUAUGAAUGGCUAAACGAGGGCUUAACUGUCUCCUUUCCCCAGUCAAUGAAAUUGAUUUUCCCGUGCAGAAGCGGGAAUAAUUACAUAAGACGAGAAGACCCUAUGGAGCUUUAGACGCAAGGGCAUAUCAUGUUAAAAACAUUACAUUAAAUAAUUAAAACAAUAGAAUUCUGCCACAAUGUCUUUGGUUGGGGUGACCACGGAGGAAACCAAAACCCCGCGCGGAAUAGAAGUACAUCUUCCAAAGCCAAGAGUUACCACUCUAAGUUACAGAACAUCUGACCUUAGUGACCCGGCAACGCCGAUCAACGAACCAAGUUACCCUAGGGAUAACAGCGCAAUCCCCUUCUAGAGUCCCUAUCGACAAGGGGGUUUACGACCUCGAUGUUGGAUCAGGACAUCCUAAUGGUGCAGCCGCUAUUUAGGGUUCGUUUGUUCAACGAUUAAAGUCCUACGUGAUCUGAGUUCAGACCGGAGUAAUCCAGGUCAGUUUCUAUCUAUGAAAUAUUUUCUUCUAGUACGAAAGGACCGAAGAACAGGGGCCAAUGCUGCAAGUACGCCCCACCCUUGCCUGCUGAAGACAACUAAAAUAGUUAAAAGGGUAUAAUUUCUUAGCUAAAAAUAAUAGCGU
rnacentral:rRNA from 1 species